rnacentral:rRNA from 1 species
UACGUAGGGUGCGAGCGUUAAUCGGAACUACUGGGCGUAAAGCGUGUGCAGGCGGUCUGUUAAGACAGGUGUGAAAUCCCCGGGCUUAACCUGGGAAUUGCGCUUGUUACUGGCAGACUAGAGUGCGUCAGAGGGAGGUGGAAUUCCACGUGUAGCAGUGAAAUGCGUAGAGAUGUGGAGGAACACCGAUGGCGAAGGCAGCCUCCUGGGAUGACACUGACGCUCAUACACGAAAGCGUGGGGAGCAAACAGG